rnacentral:rRNA from 1 species
AUUGAACGCUGGCGGCAUGCCUUACACGUGCAAGUCGAACGGCAGCACGGGAGCAAUCCUGGUGGCGAGUGGCGAACGGGUGAGUAAAGUAUCGGAACGUGCCCAGUCGUGGGGGAUAACGUAGCGAAAGUUACGCUAAUACCGCAUACGAUCUAUGGAUGAAAGCGGGGGAUCGCAAGACCUCGCGCGAUUGGAGCGGCCGAUAUCAGAUUAGGUAGUGGGUGGGGUAAAGGCUCACCAAGCCGACGAUCUGUAGCUGGUCUGAGAGGACGACCAGCCACACUGGGACUGAGACACGGCCCAGACUCCUACGGGAGGCAGCAGUGGGGAAUUUUGGACAAUGGGCGAAAGCCUGAUCCAGCCAUGCCGCGUGCAGGAUGAAGGCCUUCGGGUUGUAAACUGCUUUUGUACGGAACGAAAAGGUUUGGGCUAAUAAGCUGAGCUCAUGACGGUACCGUAAGAAUAAGCACCGGCUAACUACGUGCCAGCCGCCGCAGUAA